rnacentral:misc_RNA from 1 species
GUUUUAGUUGUACAUUAUGCACAGAGACAUUCCAUUACAUUCAGAGUGUGUAAAAGUACCCUUGGAAAUCAAUCCGAGGGUCGUAGAUGCACAGGUGUGUGGAUUUGCGACCGAACGUGCACAUGUGUUGCCACCAGCACAGAUACGGCCGACUUGAAGUUUCAUUAAUGAUCCUUCCGCAGGUUCACCUACGGAAA